UCACUUACCUGGCCGGGCAGAUACCAUGGUGAUGGUUUUGGCCUGUGUUGUUCUACUGACCAAGCAGGUGAGAUACCCGUCUUCCUGGCCUUGAAUGAUUUGGUGUAGCUGAGGGUAGAGACCUGCCCAUUGCACUGUGGGCAGGCACCCCUGCACAAGUCUGCUAAGGCCUCCCAAUGGGAGGAUCUUGGCCACAUAAUUUAUAGUAACAAGGGAUAGCUCUUGGGCUUUCCCUCU
rnacentral:snRNA from 14 species